rnacentral:tRNA from 2 species
GCCCGGGUGGCGAAAUUGGUAGACGCAAGGGACUUAAAAUCCCUCAGCUGUGAGGCUAUGCGGGUUCGAUCCCCGCCCCGGGCA